GAUGAACGCUGGCGGCGUGCUUAACACAUGCAAGUCGAACGGAAAGGCUCCUGCUUGCAGGGGUACUCGAGUGGCGAACGGGUGAGUAACACGUGGGUGAUCUGCCCAGCACUUCGGGAUAAGCCUGGGAAACUGGGUCUAAUACCGGAUAGGACGAUGGUUUGGAUGCCAUUGUGGAAAGUUUUUUCGGUGUGGGAUGAGCUCGCGGCCUAUCAGCUUGUUGGUGGGGUAAUGGCCUACCAAGGCGUCGACGGGUAGCCGGCCUGAGAGGGUGUACGGCCACAUUGGGACUGAGAUACGGCCCAGACUCCUACGGGAGGCAGCAGUGGGGAAUAUUGCACAAUGGGCGCAUGCCUGAUGCAGCGACGCCGCGUGGGGGAUGACGGCCUUCGGGUUGUAAACUCCUUUCGCUAGGGACGAAGCGCAAGUGACGGUACCUGGAGAAGAAGCACCGGCUAACUACGUG
rnacentral:rRNA from 1 species